rnacentral:tRNA from 1 species
GAAGGGGUAGUUUAAAUAAAAUGUGAAGUUGUCAACUUUAAGAUGCUGGAUUGUUUAGUUCUCUUCUC